UACGAAGGGGGCUAGCGUUGUUCGGAAUCACUGGGCGUAAAGCGCACGUAGGCGGCUUUCUAAGUCAGGGGUGAAAUCCUGGAGCUCAACUCCAGAACUGCCUUUGAUACUGGAGAGCUUGAGUCCGGGAGAGGUGAGUGGAACUCCGAGUGUAGAGGUGAAAUUCGUAGAUAUUCGGAAGAACACCAGUGGCGAAGGCGGGUAGCUGGGCCAACACUGACGCUGAUGCGCGAAAGCUAGGGGAGCAAACGGG
rnacentral:rRNA from 1 species